rnacentral:piRNA from 1 species
UACACUUUGGCAGGACCUCUAUUGGCAGA